GAUGAACGCUGGCGGCGUGCCUAAUACAUGCAAGUCGAGCGAACAGACGAGGAGCUUGCUCCUCUGACGUUAGCGGCGGACGGGUGAGUAACACGUGGAUAACCUACCUAUAAGACUGGGAUAACUUCGGGAAACCGGAGCUAAUACCGGAUAAUAUAUUGAACCGCAUGGUUCAAUAGUGAAAGACGGUUUUGCUGUCACUUAUAGAUGGAUCCGCGCCGCAUUAGCUAGUUGGUAAGGUAACGGCUUACCAAGGCGACGAUGCGGAGCCGACCUGAGAGGGUGAUCGGCCACACGGGAACUGAGACACGGUCCAGACUCCUACGGGAGGCAUCAGUAGGGAAUCUUCCGCAGAGGUCGAAAGCCUGACGGAGCAACGCCGCGGGAGUGAUGAAGGUCUUCGGAUCGUAAAACUCUGUUAUGAGGGAAGAACAAAUGUGUAAGUAACUAUGCACGUCUUGACGGUACCUAAGCAGAGGGCCGGGUCUAGGUACGUG
rnacentral:rRNA from 1 species